GAUGAACGCUGGCGGCGUGCCUAAUACAUGCAAGUCGAGCGAACAGACGAGGAGCUUGCUCCUCUGACGUUAGCGGCGGACGGGUGAGUAACACGUGGAUAACCUACCUAUAAGACUGGGAUAAAUUCGGGAAAACGGAGCUAAUACCGGAUAAUAUAUUUAACCGCAUGGUUCAAUAGUGAAAGACGGUUUUGCUGUUACUUAUAGAUGGAUCCGCGCCGCAUUAGCUAGUUGGUAAGGUAACGGCUUACAAAGGCGACGAUGCGUAGCCGACCUGAGAGGGUGAUCGGCCACACUGGAACUGAGACACGGUCCAGACUCCUACGGGAGGCAGCAGUAGGGAAUCUUCCGCAAUGGGCGAAAGCCUGACGGAGCAACGCCGCGUGAGUGAUGAAGGUCUUCGGAUCGUAAAACUCUGUUAUUAGGGAAGAACAAAUGUGUAAGUAACUAUGCACGUCUUGACGGUACCUAAUCAGAAAGCCACGGCUAACUACGUG
rnacentral:rRNA from 1 species